AACUUGAGAGUUUGAUCAUGGCUCAGAACGUACGCUGGCGGCACGCCUAACACAUGCAAGUCGAACGAAGUAGCAAUACUUAGUGGCAGACGGGUGAGUAACAUGUAGGUAUCUGCCCUUUGGCCUGGAAUAACACGAGGAAACUUGUGCUAAUACCGGAUAAGUCUUUACGGAGAAAGCUUUAUGCACCAUUGGAUGAGCCUGCACUUGAUUAGUUUGUUGGUGGGGUAAUGGCCUACCAAGACUGUGAUCAAUAGCUGAUUUGAGAGGAUGAUCAGCCACAUUGGGACUGAGACACGGCCCAAACUCCUACGGGAGGCAGCAGUGGGGAAUCUUGCACAAUGGAGGAAACUCUGAUGCAGCGAUGCCGCGUGAGUGAAGAAGGCCCUUGGGUUGUAAAGCUCUUUCGUCGGGGAAGAAAAUGACUGUACCCGAAUAAGAAGGUCCGGCUAACUUCGUGCCAGCAGCCGCGGUAAUACGAAGGGACCUAGCGUAGUUCGGAAUUACUGGGCUUAAAGAGUUCGUAGGUGGUUGAAAAAGUUGGUGGUGAAAUCCCAGAGCUUAACUCUGGAACUGCCAUCAAAACUUUUCAGCUAGAGUAUGAUAGAGGAAAGCAGAAUUUCUAGUGUAGAGGUGAAAUUCGUAGAUAUUAGAAAGAAUACCAAUUGCGAAGGCAGCUUUCUGGAUCAUUACUGACACUGAGGAACGAAAGCAUGGGUAGCGAAGAGGAUUAGAUACCCUCGUAGUCCAUGCCGUAAACGAUGUGUGUUAGACGUUGGAAAUUUAUUUUCAGUGUCGCAGCGAAAGCGAUAAACACACCGCCUGGGGAGUACGACCGCAAGGUUAAAACUCAAAUGAAUUGACGGGGACCCGCACAAGUAGUGGAGCAUGUGGUUUAAUUCGAAGAUACGCGCAGAACCUUACCAACACUUGACAUGUUCGUCGCGACUUUAAGAGAUUAAAGUUUUCGGUUCGGCCGGACGAAACACAGGUGCUGCAUGGCUGUCGUCAGCUCGUGUCGUGAGAUGUUGGGUUAAGUCCCGCAACGAGCGCAACCCUCACUUUUAGUUGCCAUCAUUAAGUUGGGCACUCUGAAAGAACUGCCAGUGAUAAGCUGGAGGAAGGUGGGGAUGACGUCAAGUCCUCAUGGCCCUUACGUGUUGGGCUACACACGUGCUACAAUGGUAUCUACAACAGGAAGCAAGACGGCGACGUCAAGCAAAUCCUUAAAAGAUACCUCAGUUCGGAUUGCACUCUGCAACUCGAGUGCAUGAAGCUGGAAUUACUAGUAAUCGUGGAUCAGCGUGCCACGGUGAAUGCGUUCCCGGGUCUUGUACACACCGCCCGUCACACCAUGGGAGUUGGUUCUACCUUAAGGCAAGGUUUAAAACCCUUGACCACGGUAUAGUCAGCGACUGGGGUGAAGUCGUAACAAGGUAGCCGUAGGGGAACCUGCGGCUGGAUUACCUCCUUU
rnacentral:rRNA from 1 species